UACGUAGGGGGCAAGCGUUGUCCGGAAUCAUUGGGCGUAAAGAGCGCGUAGGCGGCCCUGUAAGUCCGCUGUGAAAGUCAAGGGCUCAACCCUUGAAUGCCGGUGGAUACUGCAGGGCUAGAGUCCGGAAGAGGCGAGUGGAAUUCCUGGUGUAGCGGUGAAAUGCGCAGAUAUCAGGAGGAACACCGAUGGCGAAGGCAGCUCGCUGGGACGGUACUGACGCUGAGGCGCGAAGGCUAGGGGAGCAAAAGGG
rnacentral:rRNA from 1 species